AUCUCUGUACUUGAGGAAUACCAGGUAUAAUUUUUUUUUCACUCUCCUUGAAGCACUGAAAAUCUUCUUUAAAUGUCACUAAUAAAAGUUUGGCCAUCAUCUUUUGAUGGAUCUAUAUGAGUAUGUGUUGGGGUUCUCCCUUUUACUUAUGUCUGUUAACUUGGGUUUUUCAGCGAUGCUUUACCCUAACAGCAGUAAAUGGGUUUGGUCAGUACCAACUGACAAUGAAUGUUGUGGAAACAACUUUGUCCUGCUAUUAGAUGUAUCUGCAAGGUUGGUGGACAAAUUUUGACGUGGGAUGAUAAUCAAUAUCUGAUAUGGUUCUGGUUGCAUUUCAUCGAAUGUUUUUAUGAUGUUCCAAGUAAAAUAUUUGGAGGACAGAACCGAAAAGAAUAUGCUACACUGCCUGGUCACUCUGUUUUUUCAUGUCCAAAGUUUAAGUU